rnacentral:lncRNA from 1 species
CGGAUGCAAAAGGCAUAGAUGACAGUGGCUGAUGCCGGUACUGGGAACCGAGCCCGGCACCACCUUCAGGCUUUCAGGUUUCCAGGCAUAGAUUUGUGUGAGUAUUUUCUUCUCAUUUUUUUCCCUCCUCAGCUACGAAUCAAGUAGACAGUGAUCCAAGGCACUUGAUCGAUUCCUCCAGAAAUGUCCUUGUGCUGAAUACAAUUUUCACUAUUUUAGUGGCAGAGAGGUGAUUAUAGGUAAGAAAGGGAAACAGGACAAUUCUGUAAACGAUGGCAGUGAUCCUCACUUUGUACAUUUUAUUGCCUCAGAAGUUGUUUCACACGUCUGUGUGGUGGGGGUGGUUUUGUUAAUUGUGGGAGUUAAGGGUGCCGCAAUAUCCAGUCUGCAGAUCUGGACCACCCUGUGUUCUGGACAGUCACAUUGUAUUCAUCUCUUGCUGAUCCGAAGGCCACUGUAUGUCCCCUUGUGUCACAUGUCUGAGCUGAGGAGACCAGCUCAAUGGAGAUGAGCUCGAUGUCCUUAUUUUAGAAGUUGGCACAUCGAAGUGAACUUUAUGUAAAUCUUUACUUGUUACUCCCAAAAUGUAUCCUUAGGGGUUCAACAGUCUUAAGUAGUUUUCCAUCUCUUCUGGAAGCUUAUCCAGGGAUGACCAUCCCAUCAAAAAUACCGUUUAGGGAUGAGGAUAUAGCUUAGUUGCUAGAGUGCUUGUCUCACAUACACAAAGCCCUGGGUUCAAUCCCCAGCUCUGGGGGAAAAAAAAAAUAUAUAUAUAUAUAGUUUAAAGUGAACAGGAAAAUUACCCAAAACAGAUCCAGUGGGCCACAGGAGAAGAGAAGUGGAAGUCCUCACACUGAGAUAGUGGUCAUUUCGGCUUCUGAAACCAGGCUCCCCACCACAAGCUUCCUGCCCUAUCCUAGCUGCUGUUCUGGCUUGAACAACCCCUACUUGCAUACCUACCUAUUAGAAGCCAGGACCACUUUGUAACCUGAUCUCCUGCACUGCCUUAUCUCCUUGUAACCUGAUCUCCUGCACUGUGCUGUAACCCCACUGUUUGGGUCCCAGAAUUUUCAAGUGUGAGCUCAUCUGUGUCCGCUAGCAUAAAUAAACCCAAGUUCUCCUACUUCAAGUGUCACUUGGUUUCUUGUCAGUCUGUUUUUCCACAUUUCUUGAGGCACCAGCAAGAUUCCAACCAUUCUGAUUCCUCGAGCCAACAGCCAGUGGCUGGACUGCACUGAGUAGGAAGGGACUCAUUAGGUGGUGCACCACCCAUAGGUAUUCUAGUUCCUUCUUCACCCUGGAGUGCCAACCCUCCAGGCAGCCUUGCCCCAACCAGACUCCAACGGCAACUCCAAGAAGAAAUCUACCAACUCACCUGGCAACUCGUCCGGACCCAGUAAGACCCUAGAAAAGUCAGUCCCCAGUCAGGUCCCAUCCCACUGGGCGGAAGGGGAGCUUGAUCAGUCCCCAAAAGAAACUCUACAGGUCAGGGACCUCCCAAAGUGGGGAGGAAAUCCAAUAACCUUUG